GGUUCGGGAGCCACCCUUCGGGACGGGCGGCACGAAUGGAACCUGAUCGGUCUCUUCGCAAGCGGUGCGCGCCCGUGGCCCGACGGGUGGUGCG
rnacentral:ncRNA from 1 species